UUGAACGCUGGCGGCAGGCCUAACACAUGCAAGUCGAACGGUAACAGGAAGAAGCUUGCUUCUUUGCUGACGAGUGGCGGACGGGUGAGUAAUGUCUGGGAAACUGCCUGAUGGAGGGGGAUAACUACUGGAAACGGUAGCUAAUACCGCAUAACGUCGCAAGACCAAAGAGGGGGACCUUCGGGCCUCUUGCCAUCGGAUGUGCCCAGAUGGGAUUAGCUAGUAGGUGGGGUAACGGCUCACCUAGGCGACGAUCCCUAGCUGGUCUGAGAGGAUGACCAGCCACACUGGAACUGAGACACGGUCCAGACUCCUACGGGAGGCAGCAGUGGGGAAUAUUGCACAAUGGGCGCAAGCCUGAUGCAGCCAUGCCGCGUGUAUGAAGAAGGCCUUCGGGUUGUAAAGUACUUUCAGCGGGGAGGAAGGGAGUAAAGUUAAUACCUUUGCUCAUUGACGUUACCCGCAGAAGAAGCACCGGCUAACUCCGUGCCAGCAGCCGCGGUAAUACGGAGGGUGCAAGCGUUAAUCGGAAUUACUGGGCGUAAAGCGCACGCAGGCGGUUUGUUAAGUCAGAUGUGAAAUCCCCGGGCUCAACCUGGGAACUGCAUCUGAUACUGGCAAGCUUGAGUCUCGUAGAGGGGGGUAGAAUUCCAGGUGUAGCGGUGAAAUGCGUAGAGAUCUGGAGGAAUACCGGUGGCGAAGGCGGCCCCCUGGACGAAGACUGACGCUCAGGUGCGAAAGCGUGGGGAGCAAACAGGGUUAGAUACCCUGGUAGUCCACGCCGUAAACGAUGUCGACUUGGAGGUUGUGCCCUUGAGGCGUGGCUUCCGGAGCUAACGCGUUAAGUCGACCGCCUGGGGAGUACGGCCGCAAGGUUAAAACUCAAAUGAAUUGACGGGGGCCCGCACAAGCGGUGGAGCAUGUGGUUUAAUUCGAUGCAACGCGAAGAACCUUACCUGGUCUUGACAUCCACGGAAGUUUUCAGAGAUGAGAAUGUGCCUUCGGGAACCGUGAGACAGGUGCUGCAUGGCUGUCGUCAGCUCGUGUUGUGAAAUGUUGGGUUAAGUCCCGCAACGAGCGCAACCCUUAUCCUUUGUUGCCAGCGGUCCGGCCGGGAACUCAAAGGAGACUGCCAGUGAUAAACUGGAGGAAGGUGGGGAUGACGUCAAGUCAUCAUGGCCCUUACGACCAGGGCUACACACGUGCUACAAUGGCGCAUACAAAGAGAAGCGACCUCGCGAGAGCAAGCGGACCUCAUAAAGUGCGUCGUAGUCCGGAUUGGAGUCUGCAACUCGACUCCAUGAAGUCGGAAUCGCUAGUAAUCGUGGAUCAGAAUGCCACGGUGAAUACGUUCCCGGGCCUUGUACACACCGCCCGUCACACCAUGGGAGUGGGUUGCAAAAGAAGUAGGUAGCUUAACCUUCGGGAGGGCGCUUACCACUUUGUGAUUCAUGACUGGGGUG
rnacentral:rRNA from 1 species